rnacentral:misc_RNA from 1 species
UGUGGGAGCUGGCUUGCCUGCGAUGCAGGCAUCUCGGUCUUUCAGAUACACCGAGGCGAUGCCAUCGCAGGCAAGCCAGCUCCCACA